rnacentral:lncRNA from 12 species
GCUGGACUCAGCACUUGAGAAUUUAUUCUGGGUUUCUUUUUGGAAACUCGCUGUCGGGUAUCUGGAGGCCGAUGGGCGGUACGGCAGGAUUUGGGGGUGACAAAGUCACCGUCUGGGGAGGCCGCAGAGGCCAGACGCUGGUGCCGCUUGGAAACGGGAGGUUCGGUGGGUGGGGCUCCCUGGCACCCCGCGGCCCGCCUCCAGGCCUUCCACUGCGUCCAGCCCCUGCUGCGGCGGACCCGACGCUUCUGCUCAAAUCCAUCGAUGACAGCCCUGCCCGCGACCGACAGCAGAGCACCGAGGUGGGCUCCUCCGACCGUCCACCCCGAAGCAGUCGCAGCCGAGCGGCGCCGCGGGUCAUCAUGAUUCGAAAUCCAGAACACGUGAAAAGAGAAGCUCUAGAGGUAAAGCUGCCCCACACAAGAAAGAGAAAAUUGGGAAAGGAAAGAGAACGGUUGGAGAGUUGAUAAAGAGGGUGACGUCAGGUCCAGUGGCCCCGCAUCUAUUACCUGCUUAGAGACUAUUUCUGUCCUCUCUCAACUGAGUCUGACUCUGAAGGCUGAUCCUUCAGAUCAAGUAUACAGUAAUAUUUUUCUGAAGUAAAAUGAAAUUCGCAAGUCACGUUCAAUCUCAUGCUUAACCCUAACUUCUAGCAAGCGCUGCUACAAAUGCUGAAGAUUCCUUUUAAUUCUGUAGAGAGCAAAAUGGGGCCUCUCAUGCCAAGCAGGAACCCGUGUCAAGCAGCAAGGCAAGCAGUUAAGGUCCUCCAGCUCCGAGAUAUGGCAGGACCAGGGUCAGCUGUGCCCUAGAACUGAUAGCAGCGGAACCACAGGAAGUCUGCAGGGACCCAAUAGUGAUUAAAUCCCUUUAAAAGGGGGAGGAUUUUGGCAGCAAACUGUUAGAUGCCUCAGACUUGACCCCUUGUGUCUGACCACUUAAAACAGGCAACUGCCGCCAAGGCUCUGCCCCACUGAUCUCUGACCAGAACUGAGAUCCUUCACUGCUUAAACAGAAGCGGGAAGUGCCAGGAGCUGACCUGGACCAGACCCAGGGCUCAUCCCAGUGCGCGCCCACAGACUGAGUUCACAUUUGGUCACUUAACUUCCUGCACCCCUUCCCUUACCUGGUUUGUUGUGUGGAUUGUCUUCUGUCCUGCUCUGGGUGCUGUGUGAGAAGUCCAGUUCAAUCACAUGAUGAAUUGUCAUUGAGUUUGGAAUCCUGAACCUGCCUUAUACUUGUGUUUUAACUUUGCUUUAUGAUCGAAUACAGCUGCCAUUGUGGAAAGACACGACUCGUGUGUGCCCCUCCACAGCGUGCUCAUGACGUGCUCGUGCAACUGUGUCUCACACUCUCCAGUGGAGAUGUUAACAUUACCAAAGAGCAAUCAAAUAAAGAGAGAGGAGGAGACUUAGAGGAACGGUUA